AGCGGCGGACGGGUGAGUAACGCGUGGGUAACCUGCCCUGUACACACGGAUAACGUACCGAAAGGUAUGCUAAUACGAGAUAAUAUGCUUUUAUCGCAUGGUAGAAGUAUCAAAGCUUUUGCGGUACAGGAUGGACCCGCGUCUGAUUAGCUAGUUGGUAAGGUAGCGGCUUACCAAGGCGACGAUCAGUAGCCGACCUGAGAGGGUGAUCGGCCACAUUGGAACUGAGACACGGUCCAAACUCCUACGGGAGGCAGCAGUGGGGAAUAUUGCACAAUGGGCGAAAGCCCGACGCAGCAACGCCGCGUGAGCGAUGAAGGCCUUCGGGUCGUAAAGUUCCGUCCUCAAGGAAGAUAAUGACGGUACUUGAGGAGGAAGCCCCGGCUAACUACGUGCCAGCAGCCGCGGUAAUACGUAGGGGGCUAGCGUUAUCCGGAUUUACUGGGCGUAAAGGGUGCGUAGGUGGUUUCUUAAGUCAGAGGUGAAAGGCUACGGCUCAACCGUAGUAAGCCUUUGAAACUGGGAAACUUGAGUGCAGGAGAGGAGAGUGGAAUUCCUAGCGUAGCGGUGAAAUGCGUAGAUAUUAGGAGGAACACCAGUUGCGAAGGCGGCUCUCUGGACUGUAACUGACACUGAGGCACGAAAGCGUGGGGAGCAAACAGGAUUAGAUACCCUGGUAGUCCACGCCGUAAACGAUGAGUACUAGCUGU
rnacentral:rRNA from 1 species